UCUAAGCGUAGAAUACUUUGAAUUGUGCAGACAGUAAGAAAAAAUAAAAAAGAAAAGGAAAAAGCUCUAAAAACAAUCGAAAGAAUUUUCAUGAGCACCCGGUUACCAAUUUUUGGAAACGUGCAAUGAGAGCAAUAGGAUCAAUUCUUCUGAGAUUCUCAAAUGGUGUCUGCUUCAAAUGCCCAAUCACUUCCUUUCCUCCUCUAAGGAAUGGUUGGCUUGAUAGGAGUCUCUUAUCAUCAUUAUCAUCAUAUUCCAGUUCUUCUUCUUCUUCUGGGUUUUCAUUGUUAUAUGAAGAAACCAAACAUAGUCACUGUCAAGCGACCGUGAGAAAGAUACGGACUUUCCCUCCUGUCUGUAUGGGUCGACGUUCUUGCAAAAUCGCUGGCAGAAAGGGGGCUCAAGAUCUAAAGAAGGCAAAGCUGUAUUCGAGGAUUGGAAAGGAAGUUGUAUCUGCUGUAAAGAAAGGAGGUCCAAAUCCAAUAUCAAAUACAGUUCUGGCUGCUGUACUUGAGACAGCCAAGGAACUUGAUGUACCUAAGGAAAUUUUGGAGCGCAACAUUAAGAGGGCUUCUGAAAAGGGACAAGAGGCUUAUAUUGAGAAAAUUUAUGAGGUAUAUGGUUAUGGCGGAGUUAGUAUGGUAGUGGAGGUCUCAACUGACAAAAUAAACAGAUCUGUGGCAGCUGUUAGGGAAGUAGUGAAGGACUAUGGAGGAAAGAUGGCAGAUCCAGGAUCUGUCAUGUUCAAGUUUAGACGUGCCCGAGUUGUGAAUAUAAAAGUUACAGAUGCUGACAAGGAUCAGCUUCUUGAUAUUGCCUUGGAUGCUGGCGCUGAAGAUGUCAUUGAACCUUCAAUAUAUGAAGAUGAUACUGAUGAAGAUAGGUCAGAAAGUGGCCCAGGGUGCAGGGGAAAGGCUGUUGUAGUUGUAUCCUUCAUAUCCAUAUGCAGCUAUCCCUGCUACUCUUCUCAGUUGGAACAUUAUCGGUUAUGGAAUAUCGUUGCUGUAUAUAUAUUUUCAAAUGUCUGUUCAUGGAAAUAGAAGAACUUUAGUAAGAAGAACCUAUAAUCUGAGGGAGCAUGUGGGAUUUUUAGUGCUACUACAAAGUUGUAAGUUCUUCUGAGAACUAUUUGGAGAUAUUAUCAAAACUUCGCGAGGCAGAAAUACAUUUUGAGACUGACAAUGGUUCAGAAUUAAUUCCUAUAUCAACUGUAGAGGUAGAUGAUGAGGCCAUGGACUUGAACAAAGAACUCGUGUCCAAAUUACUGGAACUUGAUGAUGUUGAUGCUGUUUACACGGACCAAAAGUGAUCAAACCCUUUGCCUACUGAAUUUGGAUUGUGUAGAAGUAGAAUCCUUGGGCAUUCUAUCGUUUAUACCUGCAACACGAUCUCUAUGUUGACUGUAUAACCCCAUCGAAAGAGAGUUUCAUUUUUUCUUUUUCAAAAAAAAAAUUUUAGGUGGGAUGAGAUUAUUCUUUUC